rnacentral:sRNA from 2 species
CGCCCGUCAAACCAUGGGAGCUGGUAAUGCCCGAAGUCGGUUUAUUAACAAACUGCCUAAGGCAGGACUGGUGACUGGGGUUAAGUCGUAACAAGGUAUCCCUACGAGAACGUGGGGAUGGAUUACCUCCUUUCUACGGAGUACAAAGCUAAUUUAAUUAGCAUUAACCUUAUUUUUCAGACCUACUAUUAUUAUUUAUCGUCAUGGCUUGGUUAGGUCCCAAGUGUAUAUCUAGUUUUGAGAGAACAAUUCUCUCAAUUGUUCUUUGAAAACUGAAUAGUAAAUAUUUUAAAAUAUUACAACGACAUCAAAAAAUGAAUAAAUUUGGUUUACUCGUAUUGAUUCAUCGAGUAAUCAUAUUAAUAAUAUGAUUCAUUGAAAUGUCUUAAAAUACACAUCAUAACAAUAGGAAAUCUUAAUUUAAUAAAUUAAGGACAUACUUUUAAAUAAGUAAGAGUUUGUGGUGGAUGCCUUGGGUCUGGAAGUCGAUGAAGGACGUGAUUACCUGCGAUAAGCCUCGUGGAGCUGGAUAUAAGCUACGAAACGGGGAUUUCCGAAUGGGGAAACCUAACUAGGGUAAUGCCUAGUUGCCUUCUUGUGAAUACAUAGCAAGUCGAGCGAGACACCAUGUGAACUGAAACAUCUUAGUAGCAUGAGGAACAGAAAAUAAAUAAUGAUUUUUUUAGUAGCGGCGAGCGAACGAGAAACAGCCCAAACCACUUUAAAGUGGGGUUGUAGGACAGUCUAUAUAGAGUUACAAAAUUUAAUGAUAGCAGAAACAUUUGGGAAAAUGUAGCAUAGAGGGUGAUACUCCUGUACGCGAAAUCAUUAAAUCUCUUGACUGUAUCCUGAGUAGGGCGGGGCACGUGAAACCCUGUCUGAAUCCGCCGGGACCACCCGGUAAGGCUAAAUACUAACCAGACACCGAUAGUGAACUA